UUUAACACUCCAACCAUUAAAUUUAAAGUUCUUAAUGCAUAAAUUAAGUCUACAAUUUAUUAAAAAACUUGAAAUCAUUUGAUACUUCUUUUCAUUAAUUUAUUUUGACAAAUAAUCAUAAAAUUAUUUUAUACGUUGAUUUGUUUAAAAAUUUAUAAAUUUAAUCUAUGCAUUAAGAACUUUAAAUUGAAUGGUUGAAUUGUUAAA
rnacentral:miRNA from 1 species